CCUCGCCCCCGCGUGUAGACGUGCAGCCUCUCGUGCGCCUCGACACACGCAAGGAUGCUGAAUUGCCACGUGAAGGAUGAUCACAUGAUCAGGACAAGCCAUAAGUCGCCGAUGAAGGAGAAGAAGAGGAGCACCAGCUGCAUAUUCUGCAUGUAAGCCAAAAGUCUCACUGCUUCUAUUGCACAUUUGUGCAUUGGAGUGCUUUUGCAUACAGAAAUCCCACGUAGAAACACUUGAACACAUCAUUUUCACCCACAGAAGGGCCCCUUGUAUGAAUUCAAUAGUGAUUAUUACAAGCAUUAAGUGUUAAUGAUCUGGACCAAAAAAAAAACAUAUACUAACAAGACCAAAAUAUGUACCUUAAA